GGGCGUGUAGCUCAAUUGGUAGAGCGCUCCACUUAUUAUGGAGAGGUUUUCAGAUCGUCCCUGAACAUGCCCA